rnacentral:tRNA from 1 species
GAGAAGAUUUCUAAUGUUGGAAUUUAGAGUUGGGCUGUAAACCCAUGGGUUGGAUGACUCACGAGGGUUCAAUUCCCUCUCUUCUCA